GUUGGGACUGCAGCAAAGAGGACCUUGUCACUGGGUGGCAGAAAGCCUCCCACCUGCAGAAUGAAAAAGAGAAAACGCAUCUGAUAAACGCCGUGGUAGGGCACAGGACUGAAGGCAUCGUCUGGCUUUUCCUCGCUAAGGGCUAGGAGCUUCUUGCUGUCUCGGUUCUCCGAGGACACCUGCAAAGGAGGCAAAACAAACAUGGCAAACCCAGCUCCAUUCCUUCAGCCGGAACCCACGGAACCCACGGCAGACAGCGCUAGCUGAUCACAGCACACGGGAGCCCCGCUGCACCUGCACCCGGGCACACAGCGGGACUUGAACCCAACACUCCAUCUUCCUGAGCCUAAGUGGAGUCAGCAGGGGAGCUGAGGGGACAUGGGCAACCUGGGCCCCCUGGUUGGGGCAGGAGAUGGAGAUCAAAGGCCACAUUCCUCCAGCAUAGUUCCCGCAGGGGGACAGUGCUGGCCUGCAGAGCCUCAUCCGGCAGGGUGGGCAAAAAGGAUGGGCACGGCUGCCCGGGAGGGGGGAGAAAGUGCUUGCUGAAGAAUGACGUCCUGUGCCUGCUCCUGACCAUCUUCGGGCUCUGCUGAGUCCACUUCCAUGGAACAAGUCUACACUGGUGACCUGUGUGCAGGACCAAAGAUGCUGCAGAGAUGAACAAAUCCUGGUUCCUGUCCAGGAACAUUCUGGGGAAGGAAACCCUAACAAACAAUGAAACACUACGGAGCCUGUCACUGUGUCACUCCACCACCACGCACCAAGUGACUGCUUCGCGCUGGAAGAAGUGAUGGGGCUGGGGCAGAGAUGCGAGGUGACAGGGGAGCCGGCCUUGGAGGAACCAAAGGGAGAUGGAGCAGCCAUUCUCCCCGGGACACACCUGGCAAUGUCCAGAGGCACCUUCAUGGCAUCCAGGGACAGCUGCCGGGAGCUGGAGCCCCUCCAGACAGACAGGCAGCCGCACACCGUCAGGGGCUGGGUGGGAAGUCCUGGUCUUGACAGAGGGGAGAGGGCCUGCAUGGUGGCCAGAGGACCUGGUCACCUGACAGAUGGUUAUUGGCCAGAGACCUGUGGAGAGUUCCAGGGAGGAGAGGGGUCCCAUCCCAAGAGUGGCUGUCAUCUGAAAAUGCACACAGUGACUUUAGCAAAGGUCCCUCUGGCCUGGGCUGUGAAGAGCCAAGCUUCUGGGUGUCACCAAGGUGAGCAGUUACAGGGCCUGGAAGGUUGCUGGGUGCCCACCAUAGCCCUGCGCAGGGAGAUGACAGGUGAUCCCAGUGAGUUCUUGGAGGCCUUGUGAUCAGGAUGACCAUGUAGGGCCUGGCAGUGACACUGGCGCUACCCAGUGGCACAGUUUAGGACUGAACCACCACCAGUCACCUUUUACUACGAGUGGGUAGGAAGCCCUGACUGCUCACCCUAGGCAGCCGUGGCUCGAGUGUGGAGCAGAGUUUGAGAGGACCCAUUUCAUUCAGCACCCCUGCACCGAAGCAGCCAGCCUCAAACCCUCAGUAAAGCCGGACUCUGACCCGACUUACUCUGCAGGGGAGGGGGGAGGUUUACUGAGGGGAGCGGCCAGCCCCAUCCUGGUUCCAACUCCCCUCCCUCCCCAAGGCCCUGGCCAGAAGAUGCCCGCCCUGCCUCGGGAACCAGCUGUCCCACCCAGACAUCACUCUCUAGGUUGGUGGGCCUCAGACUGGGACCACUCCCCUGGGGACAGCUGCCAAUGUCUGGGACAUUUUUGGUGUCAGGGGUUGGGCAGGGGGGCUGAGGGCACCACUCAACAACAUCCUGCAAUGCACAGGACACCCCACCCUCCGGCUACAGCCACAGGAACAGAGGAGCUGGCCCAAAUGCUGCCAGCGCCAAGGCCAAGGCCCUGUGGCCGGGUCACACCACAAAGGCCUGGCGGUGGCUGGGGAGCUCCCGCCCACACGCAGAGCCAGUGCUGGCUGAAGAUGCGUUGAAAGGUCCUUCACCCCAGAGCCCAGGUCAGAUGAAUAAGGAGCCAGCCUCGUGGCCUUUAUAUAGCUCCAGGCCCGUGGGGGGGCUGUCACCAUGCCAUGUUCCCUGCGAGGGGCUCUGGCUGCCUGGGGGUGGGGGGCAUGGUCAGUUGCAGCUGUUGCUGGCAUCAGGCCACGUGGAGAGGACAAUGCCCUGGAAUGCCAGGCACGCUGCACGACAGCUGAGCCACAGGCAUCUGAAGGGCUCCAGUGAAAAUGGAAUUGUUCGGGUGCCUGUGCCCCUCACAAAAGCCAGCCAGGUGGCCAUGGGCUAAAAAUACCUGGGAAGAAAAAGCCACUGAGGGCCGUCUGACUGCAUGGGGCUGUAGCUCCACGCUCCCAGGCAGGGGGCAGGGUGAGGACUGGCCUAGGUCCCCAGGCCCAAAAGAAGACAAUUGAUGGCUCUUCUCUGGGCUUCACUUUUUGCAUCUGGAAAAUGGGCUCAUAUUAGUGCCUGCCUCACAGCACUGAGCACAGGCAGCCAUAGAAAUAGAAUGAUAAUGGCUCGAUCUCUUGGGGGGGCAUCAGUUUGGCAAGGCUGUGUGCAGUGGCUAGGUGGUGGCCGUGCCGGGCGGGUCUGAUUUCCCCAGUGUGCUUGUUAGGCACCCACAGGGACCAAGCUCAAGUCAACCUGGGACUCAGUACACAGCCUCCUCUGGGGCCAGAGCAAAUGAGGCUGGAAAGGUAACCGAUCACAUCACACACACACACACACACACACGCACACAUUCCCUCUCUCAGGGUCGGUGGACUCCAUGCUCACCACAUACAAAGCCAUCUACACCGCUGCAUGAGUGACCACAAGGCCAAUGCUGUGGACAGCGCCUGGCCCAGGGUCAGCACACAACACAUGAACUGUUGGUUCCUGACAGUCUAAGACUUGUGCCACUGUUCCUGCUUAUCACUGAAGAGUCUGAGCCCCAGGGUGAUGAAGUCACUUGUCCAGGCCCCCACAGGCAGGACAGCAGAGCAGCUGACCUGGAACGCGGCUUCUGGUCAUAGCAAGUCAGUGCCCAGUGGUUGGGUCUUAACUGUCAGGCCAGGGAGGACAGACCUCCCCCAAGGCAGUAGAGAGCCGCUGGAUUCCUCAUUUGAGGGGCGUGAAGGGCUAGGAAGGAGAGUGUGUUUUUGCUGUGCUGACAUUGAAUCCAGGGCCUCAAACAGGCUAAGCUCUACCAGUGAGCUACAUCCCCAGCCUAUUUUAUUCAUUUAGUGACAGGGUCUCACUAAGUUGCACAGACUGGCCUUGAACUCCUGAUCCUCCUGCCUCAGUUUCCUGAGUAGCUGGGACUACAGAUGUGUGCCAUGGCACCUGGCUCAUAAUAACUCUUUGAAGUAAACCGAGCGUUUACUGCAGUGCACACCUGUAAUUCCCAGCACUCGGGAGGCUGAGUCAGGAGCAUCGCUGCAAGUUCAAGACCAACCUGGACUACAAAAUGAGCUUAAGGCCAGCCUGAGCUGUAUAGUGAGACCCUGUCUCAAAAAUAAGCACCAAAAAAAAACCUCUUUAAAGAAACGAAACCUAUCUGCCCACUUCACAAACAGCAAGACUAAGUCACAGAGGCUGGUGUUGCUUGCCUGAGUCACAACUGGGAUCCCGUGGGUGCCUAACAUUACAUGGACACAUCUCUCUGACCAGCUGGAGAAGCCACCUCCCCACUCUGACAGGCGCCCUCUGACGCCUGGGGGCCCUGACAGAGGAGAUAGGCUAUCACUGGGUGACACAGCCCAUCAGACACUGGCUUGGGGGCGGCAGGGCCUGGCAUUCCUUUGUUCUGUGGGGGGCAGCUGAGUCCACACCCUCUGGAGAGGGGCCUCACGCUGAGGCAGGCUGACUGGCAGUGGCUUCAUUUCUGGAGGAAACCUUCGAGUAGUUACAGGACACUUGCAUGGCCAGGCGCUGUCCUCAAUGGUCAUGCGUGACUUGAUGAACUGUUCAGUCCACUGACACCAGUGAGCCUCCUCAGGGGCUGCUAGGUCCUGCAAAACCAUCACAUGGAAAAAGAUUUUCUUUCCUUCCUGACAAUGUGGGCUAAUGGCUUAGACUUGGAUUCCAGGAACAAAAGUGGAAAAAAAAAAUCCACAAAGGAGAAGAAAUAAAACGCACCCCCAGCAGGGCCGGAAGCCCCAGAGGCUGGACGGAUGCCGACUCCGACGCUGUGCGUUGAGGUCCAGCCAGCACGAGAACAUCCCAUAAUGCUCUGACUUCCUUCUAAUGACUAUUUGAGCACUUGAAAGAGACACCUAGUCUCCUCCACAGUUUGUGGGUCACUGUUGACGCCCUGCUUAGCUGCAAAGGGGAGCCACGUGGGGGGACCAAAGGACUUCAGGGCCAAUCGUGCAGUGCAAAAUCCCAGGGGUGUAUGUUACGAUGCCAUUAAUGUGAAAACCAGUAUGUGUGGGAUGACACACACCAUUAAUGUGACAAAGAUUAUGGGUGUGUACAAGGUGUGUAAGACGCAAGAUGUCUGCGAGGCUGCCUCCAGUGCCACGGCCUGGAUAAGAUCCCAGAACAGACGAGGGCUGAGAGCAGAUGACGCUCGACAUCUGAAUGUCGUCUAGACUGUGGUCAGUGGUGACAGUGCUGAUGUGGCCCCAGAAGAUGUUAACAUCAGGAAAACAGAUGCUAGGGCUGUGUGUGGUGAAGUCUGCGAGCUCUAUGUCACUUCUAAAAUAAAAGUCUAAUUUGGAAGGAAAUUUUAGAACAGCAAAACCAAGCCAGGGUGAAAUCAAGCAAUAGCAAGUGCUGGUGGGGCUAAGGGGGGGAAGGAGACCUUCUCCACUGUUGGUGGGAGUGCACACUGGUGCAAUCACUGUGGAAAUCAGUGUGGUGAUUUCUCCAAAAACUAGGACUAGCUAUCCCCUUCUGGGAAUCUUCCCAAAAGAAUUAAAAACAUUGCACCAUAGCUAUAUAUGUGCACCCAUGUUUAUAAGCAGCACAAUUUGUAAUAGCCAGAUCUUGGAAACAAUCCCAAUGCCCAUCAACUGAGGAAUGGACUUAAAAAGACGCAGUAGUUUAUGCAAUGGAGUACUACUCAGCCAUAAAGAAUGAUACAGUGGACAGUUUUAUAGGUAAAUGAGACCAUACUCGUAAGUGAAAUAAAUAAGAUACAUACGAGUAAACAUUGUAUUCUCACUAGUGUAAGAAGCUGAAACAACUUAUGCGUAUAUGUGUAUGUAUAGAAAAAGUUAAGAUAGUUGUACUACCGAUUUCUCUGAGUUCAGUGAAGAGGAAGGUUUGUGCUGGUUUUGUUCAGACAAUAGAAUGCAGCUGUCUUGUGCUCCUGGUGAAUGAUUUGGGGAUGACAGCGUGCAAUGUAUGUACCAUUGUUGCCUCCGAUCGAUGUGCUUUGAAAUUUUGUUGUAGUCUUUCUUUCUUUCUUUCUUUCUUUCUUUCUUUCUUUCUUUCUUUCUUUCUCUCUCUCUUUCUUUCUUUCUUUCUUUCUUUCAUCCUAGAAAUAAAAUGGAUUUGAAGGGGGAAAAAACAAGCCAUGGUGCCAGAGGCUGGAAAGUCAGGACUUUCGAGGCACUGCUGGGAGGCAGGUGGGGAGCACCAGAAAGUCAGGGAGCUGGAAGGUUCCACAUCUUGACCUGGCUCAUGGGUGAGCACCGAUGUGAAAAGUCUCCAUGCUGGACAUGGAGACGAUGUACACUACACUACAGGUGUCUCUCAGUUUAAAAAGCAAAGAAUCAGGCUGGGUAUGAUGGUGCAUGCCUGUAAUCCCUGUACUCUGGGAGGCUGAGGCAGAAAGAUUGCUGUGAGUUCAAGACCAGCCUGGGCUAAAAGUGAGGUCAAGGCCAGCCUGAGCUGCAUAGCAAAGCCCUGUCUCCAAAAAGAAAAGUAAGUAAAUAAAUAAAUUUCUGAGGCCCCAUAACAUUCCAUGGCUCUCCAAAUGGCAACUGGAAAGACAACUGUCCCUGGGCAUAGAUUCUUUGCCACCUGAUGAGACCACAUUUCCCACAUCUGGGAAAAGGUUAGAAAUCACCUGAUCCCCACUGCAAGUUCCAAGAAUGAACAAACGCUCCCCAAAA